GAUGAACGCUGGCGGCGUGCUUAACACAUGCAAGUCGAACGAUGAAGCCCAGCUUGCUGGGUGGAUUAGUGGCGAACGGGUGAGUAACACGUGAGUAACCUGCCCUUAACUCUGGGAUAAGCCUGGGAAACUGGGUCUAAUACCGGAUAGGAGCGCCUACCGCAUGGUGGGUGUUGGAAAGAUUUAUCGGUUUUGGAUGGACUCGCGGCCUAUCAGCUUGUUGGUGAGGUAAUGGCUCACCAAGGCGACGACGGGUAGCCGGCCUGAGAGGGUGACCGGCCACACUGGGACUGAGACACGGCCCAGACUCCUACGGGAGGCAGCAGUGGGGAAUAUUGCACAAUGGGCGCAAGCCUGAUGCAGCGACGCCGCGUGAGGGAUGACGGCCUUCGGGUUGUAAACCUCUUUCAGUAGGGAAGAAGCGAAAGUGACGGUACCUGAAGAAGAAGCACCGGCUAACUACGUG
rnacentral:rRNA from 1 species